UGUACGGACAGAUUGAUAUGUGCUUCUGAACUUUGGAGCUUUCAAUUAUGCUUGAAAGUCUUAUCGUUGCAUAUAACUCGAUUAGUAUAUCAACUACUUGUAUGCUGGUUCUUGCUCACUUGUUUUGUAUUUGAAAUAUCUCUUUGACCUCCAUGGGAAAUAGUUUAGUGGCUAGAAUCAUGUUUGUGCGCAGAGUGAGUGGUCACACAUUGAAAUUUUUAACUGGGCUUAGUUCAUUGAGUGAAGUUCUAAGUGUGCAGUAUCUUGUUGUUGUAACUAUGACUGCCACUCUUGACAAUUAAAAUAUUUUGUUCCUACCUAAUCGAAACUAUUCAUCACUUGUUUCUUUACGUGGUAUUGCAGGACGCUGUAUCCAUCUUGCCAGCCUUUCACUAAGGAUAGUUGUCAUCUACCACCAAAUGAAUUCAUGUUACAACAGCAAUGUCUUUGAUAUCCUACUUCCAUGAACCAAAGAGCUAUCUCCCUGCUCACAAAUUGGAAUGUGUUGUGCUUCAGUUUAUGACUAUCUUUUCCUUACUUUCUCAAUUUAUUCAGUAGUGUAGACAAGGACAUGACAUUUUCUGUUACACUACAUAUCCUAAAAAAAAAGUUUCUAUUUGUUUUCCUGUUCCAUUGUAAACUAAAAAAAAUGCUCUCAGUGACUCAUAUUCUUUUAUGUUGGUAAAUCCUCUGGGUGUACUAUGAGUUAUAAGGUUGAUUAAACCGUUUUCUGUUACAGAGAAUACAAGACGGUGGUGUGAAAGUUCUUUCAAUGUUGUGCAUUGUGGCAGAGAAUGCACAGCCAUAUCUGUUUGGAAGUGUAUGCUGUUUUCCGAUGAUGCACAGUAUGAUAGAGGGAACCAUCUUGCCAGCAAAUCACAAAGCUAGUUUGAGGUGGAGGAUUGCUAAGGACAACACAUUGAGGAACUUAGGUGCAGUCCUCCAGAUGAGGAGGGGAAAGUUUCCUGUAGACUUAGCAGAAGGGGCGCUCUGAGCACUUUGCUUGCAAGCACUAGGUCAGAGACACCAAAGGAACAAAGGGACUGUCAAAGUGAGAGCCUAGCAUGUACAAAUUCAGGUCCUGCUCAUAAUUGGCGACCUUGGCUAAAAGUGGGGAGUGAAUUUUAGAUUGUUAUAUCAUGUUUUUGAAAUGUAGGAAAUGUUUCUAUAUUUCCCAUUUAUUUGAUACUUCACACUUAAUGUCUCUAGUAACUUUUGAUACUUUAUGUUUGUUAUAUAGAUGAAUUGA